CACGUGAAGAAUCUGCCCUCCACUUUGGGAUAACUCCGGGAAACCGGGGCUAAUACCGAAUAUUGAAACAUAAGCGGCAUCGCUGAGUUUUGAAAGAAUUUCGGUGGAGGAUGACUUCGCGGCCUAUCAGCUUGUUGGUGAGGUAAUGGCUCACCAAGGCAACGACGGGUAGCCGGCCUGAGAGGGCGACCGGCCACACUGGGACUGAGACACGGCCCAGACUCCUACGGGAGGCAGCAGUGGGGAAUAUUGGGCAAUGGACGCAAGUCUGACCCAGCGACGCCGCGUGCGGGAUGAAGGCCUUCGGGUUGUAAACCGCUUUCAGCAGGGAAGAAGCGAAAGUGACGGUACCUGCAAAAGAAGCACCGGCUAACUAUGUGCCAGCAGCCGCGGUAAUACAUAGGGUGCAAGCGUUGUCCGGAAUUAUUGGGCGUAAAGAGCUCGUAGGUGGUUCGUCACGUCGGAUGUGAAAAUCUGGGGCUCAACCCCAGACCUGCAUUCGAUACGAGCGAGCUAGAGUUUGGUAGGGGAGACUGGAAUUCCUGGUGUAGCGGUGGAAUGCGCAGAUAUCAGGAGGAACACCAAUGGCGAAGGCAGGUCUCUGGGCCAAUACUGACACUGA
rnacentral:rRNA from 1 species